GAAUAUUGGACAAUGGGCGAAAGCCUGAUCCAGCCAUGCCGCGUGUGUGAAGAAGGUAUUCGGAUUGUAGAGCACUUUAAGUUGGGAGGAAGGGCAGUACGCGAAUCACUUGCACAUUUGACGUUACCGACAGAAUGAGCACCGGCUAACUCUGUGCCAGCAUCCGCGGUAAUACAGAGGUGGCAAGCGUUAAUCGGAAUUACUGGGCGUAAAGCGCGCGUAGGUGGUUCGUUAAGUUGGAUGUGAAAUCCCCGGGCUCAACCUGGGAACUGCAUCCAAAACUGGCGAGCUAGAGUAGGGCAGAGGGUGGUGGAAUUUCCUGUGUAGCGGUGAAAUGCGUAGAUAUAGGAAGGAACACCAGUGGCGAAGGCGACCACCUGGGCUCAUACUGACACUGAGGUGCGAAAGCGUGGGGAGCAAACAGG
rnacentral:rRNA from 1 species